UUUCCGUAGGUGAACCUGCGAAGGAUCAUGU
rnacentral:rRNA from 1 species